rnacentral:lncRNA from 1 species
GAAUCAAAUAACAAUUACAAUGCCAGAGGGUAGGUAGAUAGUUGCAAUCCCUCUUUAAUUUUUGUAUUCAAAUAUAUUCAUCUUUAUAAAGACUAGAAGAUGUUUUUCAUUGCCUGAUUUUCGGAGAGACUCCUUAUCUGUGCGGAUUUUGAUUACAAAUAGACAUCAAUGGGUUAUUUAUUCAUAUGAUUUGAAAAAUAUCGAGAUCUAGACCUAGAAUAGUUUGGGUAAAUCAUAACCAUAGCGAAAAGAAAUACACCUAUUUGAAACAAGAAAAGUGAAAUAUUGAUACUUUGAGCACUACAUAUUUGUUCUUUUUUUAUUUGUUUUGAUAGAUCAAACAAGAAUUAUGUUACGAGACAUAAAUCCUAAGAUAUCGGACUAGAAUCUUGCUAGAAUUUUGAUAUAAAGGGGUAUUUUUGGAAUAAUGCUAAAUGCACAUAAUACGUGCGUACAUAAUGCCCUUGAAAUUUUAUUACCUAAUUUAAACUAUUAUCAUGACUAAAUUAUCCUUAAUUUAUAUUGGUAAGUUUCUAAAGAUUUUAUUUUCUUUUUUUAACUUUAAUAAUUUUGGAA